rnacentral:rRNA from 1 species
AGGACGAACGCUGGCGGCGUGCUUAACACAUGCAAGUCGAGCGAGGCUCCUCCUUCGGGAGGAUGUCCUAGCGGCGAACGGGUGAGUAACACGUGGGCAACCUGCCCUCAGCUCUGGGAUAACUCCGGGAAACCGGGGCUAAUACCGGAUACGACCUCCACGGGCAUCUGUGGAGGUGGAAAGUUUUUCGGCUGAGGAUGGGCCCGCGGCCUAUCAGCUAGUUGGUGGGGUGAUAGCCCACCAAGGCGACGACGGGUAGCC